GGGGAUUUAGCUCAGCGGUAGAGCACUUGCCUAGCAAGCUCAAGGCCCUGGGUUCAAUCCCCAGCUCCG
rnacentral:tRNA from 1 species